rnacentral:ncRNA from 1 species
GCAGAGUAGACUGUUGCGCGUCAAGUGCCGCCGAAACGGGGAGUUGUUCGGUGGACGAAAGGGACUUCGUCCCCUGCGGUGCAGCAGCCGCAUCCCGCUGC